rnacentral:rRNA from 14 species
UUAAGUUACUAAGGGCGUAUGGGGGAUGCCUUGGGUUUCAGAGGCGAUGAAGGACGUGACCAGCUGCGAUAAGCUACGGGGAGCUGCUGAUAAGCUUUGAUCCGUAGAUUUCCGAAUGGGGCAACCCGUCCGUAUGGACACAUAGGAGCGAACCUGCUGAACUGAAACAUCUAAGUAAGCAGAGGAAAAGAAAAUAAUAAUGAUUUCCUGAGUAGUGGCGAGCGAAAGGGAAAGAGCCCAAACCAUGUAUGUUACGGCAUAUAUGGGGUUGUAGGACUGCAAUAUGAUUAUAAGAACGAAGUUGAACACUUCUGGAAAGUUGGACCAUAGGGGGUGAUAGUCCCGUAAAUGUAAGGUCUUAUAUGAUAGCAGUAUCCUGAGUACCGCGAAGCAAGUGAAACUUUGUGGGAAUCUGCCGGUACCAUCCGGUAAGGCUAAAUACUCCUGAAACACCGAUAGCGAACUAGUACCGUGAGGGAAAGGUGAAA